CUCUGCUUACAUUCGGCUUCCCUCAACGCCGCUGCUACCAGCCACAGCAGCGACGGUGUUGACGGAGGUCGAGUGUAGACAGA
rnacentral:pre_miRNA from 1 species